rnacentral:rRNA from 1 species
CCUACGGGAGGCAGCAGUCGAGAAUCAUUCACAAUGGGGGAAACCCUGAUGGGGCGACGCCGCGUGGGGGAAUGAAGGUCUUCGGAUUGUAAACCCCUGUCAUGUGGGAGCAAAUUAAAAAGAUAGUACCACAAGAGGAAGAGACGGCUAACGCUGUGCCAGCAGCCGCGGUAAUACAGAGGUCUCAAGCGUUGUUCGGAAUCACUGGGCGUAAAGCGUGCGUAGGCUGUUUCGUAAGUCGUGUGUGAAAGGCGCGGGCUCAACCCGCGGACGGCACAUGAUACUGCGAGACUAGAGUAAUGGAGGGGGAACCGGAAUUCUCGGUGUAGCAGUGAAAUGCGUAGAUAUCGAGAGGAACACUCGUGGCGAAGGCGGGUUCCUGGACAUUAACUGACGCUGAGGCACGAAGGCCAGGGGAGCGAAAAGGAUUAGAUACCCUUGUAGUC